rnacentral:rRNA from 1 species
CCUACGGGUGGCAGCAGUGGGGAAUAUUGCACAAUGGGGGAAACCCUGAUGCAGCAACGCCGCGUGAGGGAAGACGGUUUUCGGAUUGUAAACUUCUAUCAGUAGGGAAGAAAAAAAUGACGGUAGCUAAAUAAGAAGCCCCGGCUAACUACGUGCCAGCCGCCGCGGUAAUAAGGAGGCGGCAAGCGUUAUGCGGAAUUACUGGGUGUAAAGGGAGAGUAGGCGGCAAGGUAAGCGAUAUGUGAAAGCCUUAAGCUUAACUUAAGGAUGGCAUAACCAACUAAGUAGCUAGAGUACAGGAGAGGAAAGCGGAAUUCCUAGUGUAGCGGUGAAAUGCGUAGAUAUUAGGAAGAACACCAGUGGCGAAGGCGGCUUACUGGACUGAAACUGACGUUGAGGCUCGAAAGCGUGGGGAGCGAACAGGAUUAGAUACCCCAGUAGUC